rnacentral:rRNA from 1 species
AUUGAACGCUGGCGGAAUGCUUUACACAUGCAAGUCGAACGGCAGCACGGACUUCGGUCUGGUGGCGAGUGGCGAACGGGUGAGUAAUGUAUCGGAACGUGCCCAGUCGUGGGGGAUAACGUAGUGAAAAUUACGCUAAUACCGCAUACGAUCUAUGGAUGAAAGCGGGGGAUCGCAAGACCUCGCGCGAUUGGAGCGGCCGAUAUCAGAUUAGGUAGUUGGUGGGGUAAAGGCCCACCAAGCCAACGAUCUGUAGCUGGUCUGAGAGGACGACCAGCCACACUGGAACUGAGACACGGUCCAGACUCCUACGGGAGGCAGCAGGGGGGAAUUUUGGACAAUGGGCGAAAGCCCGAUCCAGCCAUUCCGCGUGCAGGAUGAAGGCCCUCGGGUUGUAAACUGCUUUUGUACAGAACGAAAAGGUUUCUACUAAUACUAGGAGCUCAUGACGGUACUGUAAGAAUAAGCACCGGCUAACUACGUGCCAGCAGCCGCCGUAA